UACGGGGGGGGCAAGCGUUGUUCGGAAUUACUGGGCGUAAAGGGCUCGUAGGUGGCCAACUAAGUCAGACGUGAAAUCCCUCGGCUUAACCGGGGAACUGCGUCUGAUACUGGAUGGCUUGAGUUUGGGAGAGGGAUGCGGAAUUCCAGGUGUAGCGGUGAAAUGCGUAGAUAUCGUUUGGAACGCCAACGGUGAAAACAGACAGCUGGGAGUGUGCUGACGCUGAGACACGAAAGCCAGGGGAGCGAACGGG
rnacentral:rRNA from 1 species